rnacentral:lncRNA from 1 species
ACAGAGGCAGCAAGCCUCAGAGACAACAUUAACCUCGGAUCACACCACCUCAGGAAACAGCCGGAAAUAGUCGAGAACCCAGCGUGUUAGUGGGUCAGAAAACGGUGAUGACGUAGACACUCGCAUGCCACGUGACUGAGAUGACGUAGCACGCAAGCGCACCACAUGACUGAGACGACAAAGCGUGCCUCCCGCCAAUGAUUCAGCUUAUCGCUUGUCUACAUUGCAACAGCACCGUGCACAUAAGCCAUGCCACCUUCCAUAGUUAGUGCACCUCUCAACAUAUGAAUAUGGUUACUAACUCAGAGACUGGAAAACCUCCAAGGCUACUGUUAAUUAACAAAAGCCAAUGCUCACCUUAUAGACCUGCAGCCAUGGAGAGAGAAGGCUUUCUUUCAGCAGCAUGUGGGCUGCCCCUCGAGGAGCCUUUGAGCAAUCGGAAGGGUGAA